UACGUAGGGCGCAAGCGUUGUCCGGAAUUAUUGGGCGUAAAGAGCUCGUAGGCGGCUUGUCACGUCGGAUGUGAAAGCCCGGGGCUUAACCCCGGGUCUGCAUUCGAUACGGGCUAGCUAGAGUGUGGGUAGGGGAGAUCGGAAUUCCUGGUGUAGCGGUGAAAUGCGCAGAUAUCAGGAGGAACACCGGUGGCGAAGGCGGAUCUCUGGGCCGAUACUGACGUGAGGAGCGAAAGCGUGGGGAGCGAACAGG
rnacentral:rRNA from 1 species